UACAAAUGUCAACAAAAUUAUGAAAAUGUACCCAUAGUACCUAUAAAACAAAUGUACGCAAUUUAUUUGUAAUACCUUACGUAGUUUUAGAUGUAUGAUUUGGUUAUUCAUUUUUUGUAUGAUUAUGUGGAACUUGUUGGAAAACAAAUAAGAUGGUGGGUAAUUUCAUCUUUUGUGGGACCUUCGAGUUCAAGACACUUGGUGAUAAAUAUUUUAUUUUAUUUAAAUAAUAUUUAUCUUAAUGAACGUGUGAUCGAAAACGGAUGUGAAUUCGGAGUUAGAACGAGUAAGUUACGAAUUUUUAAAGUUAGAAGGCAAAAUGGUAAUUUUGGGAGGGAGUAUUCUAGAAGCCAAGGGCUUCUCCCAUUUUACUUUCCCAACAGGCUGAUGCAGCAGGGACCCACCCACGUGGGUCUUCACCCUUCCCACCAGGUCAUGUAUAUAUAAUUAUUUGUUGUAUAGACAUAGUUAUGUAUAUAAUUAUUUUAUAAAUUUUCUGAUGGGUUUUUGUGUACCGUGGGACCCACUCACGUGGGUCUUCACCCUUCCCCGUGCUUCUGUUCAUCUCUACACGCCAUCACUCUUCCGUCUCCCUCCUUCACGCAAUCCUCUCUCUCUCUCUCUACUCCUUCACAUUUUUCUCUGUCAUCUCCUUUACCAUUUAUGCGCUCACUGCACAGAAAACUGCGGCAUCCAUCUCCAUCUAACUAGCCACUUCGGCGAACCUUGCCAUCACCCAAACACUACACUGCCACCUUCGCUCUCUCACAAUCUUUUUGUAUCUCCCUCUUGGCUUCUUCCUUGACACAGAGAAGCUCAUAAGCAAUGACGGCGACAGAACUAGCAAUCUCUGGCGAGGCAACCACCAAUGUCACCUUCCUCUCCUCACUGCAAACUCCCCAUUACCUUUUGCUUUCUGGAAAUCAAAACUGACGCGACGAAAUGACAAGCUCCGUCGCUGCUUAACUCCUCGACGAGAUUUUCUGUUAAAUCCAGUAUGAUUUCAUCUCAGGGGACAAAUUCCCUAGAUUUCCAGCAAGGGCUAUGAUUUUAGGCUGAUUUUAAGAUAUCACUGGCCACCCAAUGGCCCUGAAGAAGGUCACACUGUCACUGCGUGUGGCACUGUUGUGGAUGGCACGUGGAGCAUAGGCGCCUCCACCGGAAGGAUGACUGCCUGAAAGGAUGAAUAUACGUUUUCAAAUGUUUGUUUCAAAUUGUAGGAUAUUUCAAAUAUGUUAUUUUUUUUAAUAUUUAAUUGAUAGAGCAUAAUUACAAAAAUUGUGCUAACGUAAAUCUGAAAUGGCAUCUGACACAGGUGUCAGAACAGGGCACAAUAUAAACCUUAUUUGUGCUCAACUUUUUGAGCACACAUGGACGUAUCGUGCCCUCUAAUCAAAGGUGAUGCCUGUAAAGGGCACAUAUACAAAUAUAUUUGCUGCAUUGUUGCUAUUGGUCUAUGGGCACAAUUAUUGGUGCUUUUUGGCCUCAAGGGGCACUGAUAA